GUCGUAACAGGGUCUCCGUUGGUGAACCAGCGGAGGGAUCAUUACUGAGUUUACGCUCUAUAACCCUUUGUGAACAUACCUAUAACUGUUGCUUCGGCGGGUAGGGUCUCCGCGACCCUCCCGGCCUCCCGCCUCCGGGCGGGUCGGCGCCCGCCGGAGGAUAACCAAACUCUGAUUUAACGACGUUUCUUCUGAGUGGUACAAGCAAAUAAUCAAAACUUUUAACAACGGAUCUCUUGGUUCUGGCAUCGAUGAAGAACGCAGCGAAAUGCGAUAAGUAAUGUGAAUUGCAGAAUUCAGUGAAUCAUCGAAUCUUUGAACGCACAUUGCGCCCGCCAGCAUUCUGGCGGGCAUGCCUGUUCGAGCGUCAUUUCAACCCUCAAGCUCUGCUUGGUGUUGGGGCCCUACAGCUGAUGUAGGCCCUCAAAGGUAGUGGCGGACCCUCCCGGAGCCUCCUUUGCGUAGUAACUUUACGUCUCGCACUGGGAUCCGGAGGGACUCUUGCCGUAAAACCCCCCAAUUUUCUAAAGGUUGACCUCGGAUCAGGUAGGAAUACCCGCUGAACUUAAGCAUAUCAAUAAGCGGAGGA
rnacentral:rRNA from 1 species